GAUGAACGCUGGCGGCGUGCCUAAUACAUGCAAGUCGAGCGAACGGACGAGAAGCUUGCUUCUCUGAUGUUAGCGGCGGACGGGUGAGUAACACGUGGAUAACCUACCUAUAAGACUGGGAUAACUUCGGGAAACCGGAGCUAAUACCGGAUAAUAUUUUGAACCGCAUGGUUCAAAAGUGAAAGACGGUCUUGCUGUCACUUAUAGAUGGAUCCGCGCUGCAUUAGCUAGUUGGUAAGGUAACGGCUUACCAAGGCAACGAUGCAUAGCCGACCUGAGAGGGUGAUCGGCCACACUGGAACUGAGACACGGUCCAGACUCCUACGGGAGGCAGCAGUAGGGAAUCUUCCGCAAUGGGCGAAAGCCUGACGGAGCAACGCCGCGUGAGUGAUGAAGGUCUUCGGAUCGUAAAACUCUGUUAUUAGGGAAGAACAUAUGUGUAAGUAACUGUGCACAUCUUGACGGUACCUAAUCAGAAAGCCACGGCUAACUACGUGCCAGCAGCCGCGGUAAUACGUAGGUGGCAAGCGUUAUCCGGAAUUAUUGGGCGUAAAGCGCGCGUAGGCGGUUUUUUAAGUCUGAUGUGAAAGCCCACGGCUCAACCGUGGAGGGUCAUUGGAAACUGGAAAACUUGAGUGCAGAAGAGGAAAGUGGAAUUCCAUGUGUAGCGGUGAAAUGCGCAGAGAUAUGGAGGAACACCAGUGGCGAAGGCGACUUUCUGGCCUGUAACUGACGCUGAUGUGCGAAAGCGUGGGGAUCAAACAGGAUUAGAUACCCUGGUAGUCCACGCCGUAAACGAUGAGUGCUAAGUGUUAGGGGGUUUCCGCCCCUUAGUGCUGCAGCUAACGCAUUAAGCACUCCGCCUGGGGAGUACGACCGCAAGGUUGAAACUCAAAGGAAUUGACGGGGACCCGCACAAGCGGUGGAGCAUGUGGUUUAAUUCGAAGCAACGCGAAGAACCUUACCAAAUCUUGACAUCCUUUGACAACUCUAGAGAUAGAGCUUUCCCCUUCGGGGGACAAAGUGACAGGUGGUGCAUGGUUGUCGUCAGCUCGUGUCGUGAGAUGUUGGGUUAAGUCCCGCAACGAGCGCAACCCUUAAGCUUAGUUGCCAUCAUUAAGUUGGGCACUCUAAGUUGACUGCCGGUGACAAACCGGAGGAAGGUGGGGAUGACGUCAAAUCAUCAUGCCCCUUAUGAUUUGGGCUACACACGUGCUACAAUGGACAAUACAAAGGGCAGCGAAACCGCGAGGUCAAGCAAAUCCCAUAAAGUUGUUCUCAGUUCGGAUUGUAGUCUGCAACUCGACUACAUGAAGCUGGAAUCGCUAGUAAUCGUAGAUCAGCAUGCUACGGUGAAUACGUUCCCGGGUCU
rnacentral:rRNA from 1 species